CCGGGCUGGGCCGGUUUUGCGGGCAGGAGAGGGCAGUGUAGCCGCAGAGGCGUUGGGCAGCCGCCCCCGUGCGUGGCUGGCACGGUCGGCUCCCAGUUUACCUUCAGCCACAAGCAGGGUUGUCAUCAGUUCAAGAGUGGCACUUAAUGGCUUACAGGAGAUGCAACCUUGAGAUCUCAGCCAUCCAUGUUAUCACCGGCCGAAAGACUCCAAAGAAUCAGAAAGGUUUCAGAGUAACAGCCGUGUUAGUCUGUAUUUGCAAAAAGAAAAGGAGUACUUGUGGCACCUUAGAGACUAACCAAUUUAUUAUCAGAUGCAUGAUGCAGUGAGCUGUAGCUCACGAAAGCUCUGCUCAAAUAAAUUGGUUAGUCUCUAAGGUGCCACAAGUCCUCCUUUUCUUUUUGCAAAGAAUCAGAAAGAGGCCAUGUAGAAGCAAGGAAGACAUGUUACAUGAAGUAAUGCAGCAUUCAAGUAAUGAAAAUCAAAAAGUGCAGGAGUGGUGGGACAGUGAAAGGAGGAUCCGCCAGCAGAAUGAGGCGUGCCGGCACAAAAGCACUGUGCUCUGGCAGCAAAGCACGGAGCGGCUGAUAAGCAUAAUGGAGCGCCAAGCGGACUCGAUCCAGGCGCUCGUAGCCAUGCAGGCGGAGCACUACCGUGCCCAACCCCCCCCACAGCGCUUGUCCAAAACUUUCCCUUGUGCUCCCAUGUCACCUCCAACCCACUUUCCCCAACAUCCGGGUUCUGACCGCCACCAGCUGCCUCCAACACCUGUAGCUUCACCACCCAGCCCUGAAAACUACGACCCUGACCCACUGCACUCAGCCCCCCUCAACAUGCCUUAUAGCCAUCCUGAAGUGCAGCGCUCAUUGUACAGCACUCCAGACAGGAAGGCUGAGUGUGAUAACGACAUACACAAAUCUGUGAUUGGACCCCCCACGCCACCCCCUUGCCCUUUCUGUUUC